rnacentral:rRNA from 1 species
AAAACUUGGCCCGUCGUUUUACAGCUUACACAUGCAAGUCGAACGGUAACAGGUCUCGGAUGCUGACGAGUGGCGAACGGGUGAGUAAUACAUCGGAACGUGCCUAGUAGUGGGGGAUAACUACUCGAAAGAGUAGCUAAUACCGCAUGAGAUCUACGGAUGAAAGCAGGGGACCUUCGGGCCUUGUGCUACUAGAAGCGGCUGAUGGCAGAUUAGGUAGUUGGUGGGGUAAAGGCUUACCAAGCCUGCGAUCUGUAGCUGGUCUGAGAGGACGACCAGCACACUGGGACUGAGACACGGCCCAGACUCCUACGGGAGGCAGCAGUGGCGGAAUUUUUNGGACAAUGGGCUGAAAGCCUGAUCCAGCAAUGCCGCCGUAGCAGGAUGAAGGCCCUCGGGUUGUAAAACUGCUUUUGUACGGAACGAAAAGCCUGGGGCUAAAUAAUCCCCCCGG